GAGAGAGUUCAAGGUGUUUUUAGGAGCUUAGAAAUAUCUUCAAAGAUAUUUAAAGUGGACUAUGGGUAAUUUUAUGAGUAGACAAUCAAUUAUGAGAGAUAAUUUUAAUUUAGAAGAUUAUUUUUCUGUAUUAUUCAAUGAGAGUAUGUUUAAAAGUGCUGUCAACAUAUUUAAUCAAAAUGUUGGUCCAAUAUCGAUUAAAAAUGGACAGUUUACUUUACUUAAAAACGUCAUAUUGGCUCAGCAUCAUCCGUGUCUUAUUGUAAUUUGGUGUGAUGAUGUUCAAAAAUGGACAGUUAGGGGUCUUGGUUUUUAUUUGUCAUCAGAUUUAGUAAUAACUGCAAACCAUGUUUUAAAAAAUCUUCAUAAUUGUAGAAUAUUUGUAUUUCUUCCACAUCAAAAUUCGUAUGUGAUGUGUUUAGCUGAAUGUCAACAGAAUUAUCAAAAUUAUGAUUUGGCUACAAUUAAAUUGCAAGGCAGUGUUGAUACAGAACAAAGUAUCAAAUUACUAAUUGAUACAGAUUCUUUUGAAAAUGAAAAUGAACACCUACACUUUUUCGUAAUACAGCCACCAUUCUUACAAAAAAAGCAAUGUAAAAUUAAGGAACCCCUAUAUCCAGAUUUAAAGAAAAAUAUGCUUGAAAAUGAAUUUUUAAUUUCUGAAGUGGGUAGACCUGGAGACAGUGGAAGCCCUGUUUAUUCAAGUUCUGGUAAAUGUGUUGGGAUAUACUUUGGAGAAUUCACCUCCACAUGUGGAAAUAUCAAAUAUGGCCGGGUAUCAAAACUACUCAAAUAAGUUCUAAUGUUAGAUUUGUUACUUUUGAUUUCUUAAUUAAACAUUCACAUCACACAUCAACAAUCUGCCAUGGAAAGAAACUAAAUUGAUUCUCAAGGUAUUUUAAUGCUUAAAAUGUAUUUUUCUUAAUCACACCAACAUCUUUUGUUGCAUAUAUUUUCCCUUUUUAUUUGCGUGAUCUAAUUUAAUUUGAACUUGUGUGAAAAUAUUGCGUGAAAAUAAAAUAAAAACAUAAAAAUAUAAUAAGAACAAUAAAAAUGUGUGUUUCUCUAACAAAAACAACAAAUAAUAGUAUUGAAAAUAUAUAUUCAUUCUUAAUUCCCCACCCCUCACCCCCGGGUUAAGCCGCUUGGUGUGAUUAAUGACAAUGUUUGAGUUCUCAUAGCGAUUGUGCACUUGUGAAAUUACCCAUAGUCCAGCAGCUUCCCGAAGAGAGAUGUGUCUCACCCAAAACAACACCGUGUGUCCGUGUUGGUCUGGAGCGGGUAUCUUGGAAAAAGAUGUUGCAUGUGUGGUUUUGAAAGCUUUGGUAAUGCAAAAACAUUUUCAAGGAACAUAACAUCCCUCUCAACAAGUAAACUGAACAAACCAACUAAAAACCACCACCACCGCCACCACCAGACUGAAUACAUGACUAUGGGUCAAGCCACAAUCAUUUGAUCUCUCUCCGUAUAAUAUAAAAAAUGUAUGUUCUUUUGAAAACAUUGUUUUUGAUUAAAGAACAAUACACAUA